AUGCUCCCAAGUGAUUUUGUGGCCUUAGGCCGACCAAGAGGCAUUACUGGUUCAGACUUGACCCAGUCCCCAAAUGAUCUGGUGGCUGUCGCCUAUCAAAGGGUGUUCGUUGGUUCGGACAUGACCAAAGCCCCCAGUGAUAUUGUGGCCUUAGGCCGACCAAGAGGCAUUACUGGUUCAAACUUGACUCAGUCCCCAAAUGAUCUGGUGGCUGUCGCCUAUCAAAGGGUGUUCGUUGGUUCGGACACGACCAAAGCCCCCGGUGAUAUUGUGGCAUUGCGCCGAUCAAGAGGUGUAGCUAUGGUUCGGAUACGACCAAGCCCCCAAGUGAUCAAUAAUAUGAUAAGCCAAUAA
rnacentral:rRNA from 1 species